GACGUAGGAGGCGAGCGUUGUCCGGAUUCAUUGGGCGUAAAGAGCACGCAGGCGGUUUGGCAAGUCGGAUGUGAAAACCCGGAGCUCAACUCCGGACCUGCAUCCGAAACUGCCCGACUAGAGGUAGGUAGGGGAGAUCGGAAUUCCUGGUGUAGCGGUGAAAUGCGCAGAUAUCUGGAGGAACACCGGUGGCGAAGGCGGCAUUCUGGACCAUAACUGACACUGAGAGACGAAAGCCAGGGGAGCAAACGGG
rnacentral:rRNA from 1 species